rnacentral:sRNA from 2 species
CCCCAGGCAACGCCUAAUUCGUGCAGAAGCGGGGGACCCAAUUCCCGGGGCGAACCGGUUUUUACCGCAGGGCUACCCUUGGCCCGAGCCCGUCAGCUAACCCCGCCGGCGUCAAAGGGGAAGGCG